rnacentral:lncRNA from 1 species
AAACGCUAUUAACUUGUGCUUCUUUGGUCUAUCAUGUUAUGUGCCAUUUAUUGGAUGGUAUGCAUGGGUACUUUAUCAUUUUGAGUAAGUGAUGAACUGGUUAAAAGAACACAAAAGGGAGGCACAUGCUUGCACAUCAGAGAACCAUGAGAGGGAAAACCAUCCAAAAACUAACAAUCUAAAUCAUCAAAAUCUGAAACACACAAGAUAAAUAAAAGUGAGAAGUACAUGACCAAGUGGAGUUCGAAGAAAGAGAAAAUUUCUUACUCGAAUAUACUUCAUCUGAUAGCGUCAGCCACUCAAAUAUACAUAGCCAAGAGAAAAGGUCAAAAAAGGAAUUCCUUGCAUACGCAAAGCAGACAAAGGAAGAAUUAAGUCCAUAAGUAGACCCAUAAGGCUAGGUUAUUAAAAUUGCUACCCUUUUUUUUUGUGGAAUGACUAUUUCUAACACAUUGAGAUGCAAGGAAGUUGUCAUAUUUAAAGUUCAUUAUGUUCUCCAGUAGCUUCAUACUCAUUUCCACAUAAAUAAUGAGAUUAUAUAUCUCAAGAUGACAUUUCCAGAUGAAAAUCCACCAAACUUUUGACAUGAACAUUGACACUGUUUUGCAAACUUCAAAUGGAUAGAAGGAGUCUGAACAAUGCAUGGUUGCAAAUUGUCAUAUAAACUAUCUAUAAAAUGCCACAUUGGGAGUUCCUAGUCAAACUUCCUAGAAGAAUGCACGCCACAUUGUGAGUUCCUAUUCAAACUUCCUAGAAGAAUGCAAUGUGAUGAACAAUUUAGUUGAGAUAGAAAGUGUUGAGCAAGUAACUGAAGCUGAAGAAGUGCAAAAA